rnacentral:rRNA from 1 species
UGCAGUCGACGGUGAGGAGAGCUUGCUCUCUGGAUCAGUGGCGAACGGGUGAGUAACACGUGAGCAAUCUGCCCCUGACUCUGGGAUAACAGUUGGAAACAGCUGCUAAUACCGGAUACGAGACGUGACCGCAUGGUCGACGUUUGGAAAGAACUUCGGUCAGGGAUGAGCUCGCGGCCUAUCAGCUAGUUGGUGAGGUAAUGGCUCACCAAGGCGUCGACGGGUAGCCGGCCUGAGAGGGUGACCGGCCACACUGGGACUGAGACACGGCCCAGACUCCUACGGGAGGCAGCAGUGGGGAAUAUUGCACAAUGGGCGAAAGCCUGAUGCAGCAACGCCGCGUGAGGGACGACGGCCUUCGGGUUGUAAACCUCUUUUAGCAGGGAAGAAGCGAAAGUGACGGUACCUGCAGAAAAAGCGCCGGCUAACUACGUGCCAGCAGCCGCGGUAAUACGUAGGGCGCAAGCGUUAUCCGGAAUUAUUGGGCGUAAAGAGCUCGUAGGCGGUUUGUCGCGUCUGCUGUGAAAACUGGAGGCUCAACCUCCAGCCUGCAGUGGGUACGGGCAGACUAGAGUGCGGUAGGGGAGAUUGGAAUUCCUGGUGUAGCGGUGGAAUGCGCAGAUAUCAGGAGGAACACCGAUGGCGAAGGCAGAUCUCUGGGCCGUAACUGACGCUGAGGAGCGAAAGGGUGGGGAGCAAACAGGCUUAGAUACCCUGGGUAGUCCACCCCGUAAACGUUGGGAACUAGUUGUGGGGUCCAUUCCACGGAUUCCGUGACGCAGCU